UCACACAGUCUAAUAAACGCAGUAACGAACGUUUGAGUCUACUUUCCAUCCGCUAACAUGGUCCGUCGUGAGCCAGCGCAUUUCUUUGGAUGAUGUGUCAAGACAAUUUUUAACGUUCUGGUAUAGAAGGACAUUUCGUGCAGGGAAAACGGAUUUAUAUUUUGUCUGGAUUGUGAAAACAGCGGCAGGAAUAUGGAGUCAAUUUUAAAGCAAAAGCGUAUCAUUAAGGGUAAGCAGUUUGGUUUGCUGUUAUGGGUCUGAAAAUAAAAAUCAGCUCUCUUGAUAUCCACCGGCUGUUGCAUUUACCCCAAUGGCUGGUCAAGUCGAGAAGUGAAGGAUGUCUGUGGACCAGAUUCUGACGCCUAUAAGCUUGGCUCGUGUCAGAUAUCUUGGUCCCUCUAUCUUCUAUGUACAGGAGUGGGAAUGCUGUUGGUGUGUGUGAUUCUUUCCUUGAAAGCUUCGAGAGUGAAACCGAACUCUUUCCGCAUUUGACACGACCACCACACGUCCAUCACUCUCCAUCACCGCAACCAGCAUCAACAUCAGCGUCACCAUCGUCGGCACCGUCCGCGUCAGCAGAGCUUUGAGAUGCAGAUUCAACAUCUGGACGAGGAAGAUAUCGCCACCAUCACGCGCAGCUGACAAAAGCUUUCCCCUAACGAAUCUAGUAAUCCCCUGAAAUCCUUCACUCUGAAGAGAACCAGGAAGAAAACUAGCGACGAUAACUCCCUCUGGAUGGCAUCCCUGUAACAGGCCGAGAGCUGCCAUCAUGUAUGUGACGUAAUUUCAAAAGAUGGACGUUGUCCGAAUUAUCAAAUGGGUAUUGCUUAAUUACACGGCAUUGUGUCUUCAGAGAUAUGUGGGCUGGAAUUUCAUCCAUCGACAAACAUCUCCGAAGUAGCUGUUGUCCCAGAUGCCUUGAAUCAUCGCAAAUGAUUGAACUUUAUGUUAUUCAGUCAUUAUUCAAAUAAUUAAACUGUAGAAAGGUUCGACAAGACAAUAUUUUAAAACUUUAAAACAGAGCUGUUGUGAGGUAAAUACUUCAUCCGUAAACGUUU